rnacentral:lncRNA from 1 species
GGCUAUAUGCUACGCCAUUAAGGUGGACAGACACAUAUGGCUAGCUAGCAUUUAUAUACAUACUCUCUCAUAAAUACAUAUUUAUAUCCACCGAAAAUCCCAUUUUCGGUAGCUCUCCAAGAGAAAAUAAAAAAUACGUCAAAUUAAAAAUGACGUUAAAAUAUUCCGCAAUAUUAAUUGUUCAACCAUGAACUAUAGCAUGCAUUUAUUUAAAAUAAACGUCCACUCACGAAUUAGGCCUAAGCCUGAUGUCAAUCUGGGGUCUCGUCUGCUCGAGCCUCUUCACGUCCUGUUCCAAAUAUAAUAUUAAUUUCCCAACCAAUAUCCAAUAUUUAAUCAAAAUAGGCAAAAUUACCCGAGAGCCAUUAUUACGCUCAUCAUUGCCUAACUUCGAUAUUCUUACAUCGGAACAAUCCGAACUUAAAUAUCAUACUCAACAGUUGUAAAUACAACCUCCCCAAAAUACGACUUAAAUCCUACGGCCGGAUUCUACAUUAAUUAACCGCCAAAAAUACCAAACUUCGGAAAUUCACAAACCUAUCCAAAUCUCAUCCAAAAAUUCCAUAAUUCACUUCAAUAAUAUCCCCUUAAUAUUCUACAUCAAAAACCAUAAAAAUCUCCUAACCGGCGGCGGCCGGCAGCCGUUUUCCGGCGACCUGCAAAUGCUACCAAAUUUUAACAGAAUCUUCCUCUCAAUCUCCUCUACAACUUUCAUGACUAACACAUCACCCAAUUCCAAGCCUAACUAGGCUAAUCGAACGAAAACAACUUAAACACCAUAAAACUUCCACCUCAAAUUUCUCCUUACCUAGCUCAAGAGGGAGGGAGCUGCUUGGAGGGGUUGUUGCACGGGAGGAGGGCUACAAAACCGUACCAAGCUUGCCCGGAUUGGUGGCCGGAGGAGGAAGUUCCGGCGAAGGGAAGCCUUGGACAGUCGGCGGUUCCGACGGCUUUUUCUCCUCUUCGGCGGCACCACCGGCUCGGACACUAGGCCGGGGAGGGAGAGGAGGUGACGGGGGUCCGAUCUGGGCUGGUGCGGCGGCGGUUGGUGGCCGGACGGCGGCGGGAGGACGGCCGGAAAUUCUUCUGGGUGUAGAGAGGGGAAAACCGGGUGAGAAGAGAAGAAAAAAUCGGGAGGGAGGGAGAAGAGAAAGAAGAAGAAAUGGGUUGGGCUCGGCCCAGCCGACCCAACACCCCUUUUAACCCAUAAUUCCAAAAUUCAACACCCCGAAAAAUAAUACCCGAAUAAAAAUUACCUUUUACUAGCUAAAAUUUACUAUUUUUACCGUCGUCGUAUUUUCCUCAUACGAAUAAUCCUCCGCACAUAAUCGUCCCCGAAACCCCUCUAGGGACCAAUUAAACUAUUUACUCAAUGAUCGAGACGGUAAAAUUCUUAUUAUAAUCACGCUA